GUCAGGAAGGAACUGUGGCUGAACGAGGCAUACUGGGUGUUUCUAUGGUACGCAGUCCAGAGGUGCCCUUAGAUGGCUUGGAGCAAUAGGCCAGAGGGUGACAACUACAUUGGGCUUCGUCUGCUAUGGGAGGCCUUGGAGGAGGACAGUGACUUUGGCAGCAGAGAGGAGUCUUGGUUAUGGGACAUCCAAGAAAAAGAGUAGACGAGCUGGAAUACCCUGAUACUAUGGGGCAGUGACUAGAUCUCACCUAUCUAGUCACGAUUGAAUGGGAGCUGGAGUACGAAUAUUUAUUCGACUAUGUUUAGCAAGCCCCUGGAGUGGAG